rnacentral:piRNA from 1 species
UGUAGAACUGUGGAGAGAAAACCCCCAA